UCGCUGACCAACAGCGAGAGUGCCGAACGGACAUUCAGGGACUCGAGGUGCCCUUCGGCCAGCGCUUCCAUGGUACAAUUCUCCAACGCUGCUCGGGCCGCAUCCUGCUUCCUCCAAGUAUCCUGCCCAGGGUCACACAGCCAUGGGAACUUCGCAGAGAAGGGAAUCCAGAGCAGACUACAAGUGCAGUGUUCUGCAGAGACCCCAGGCCCAUUUUCCUGGACCAUCUGGCUCACCUUCAGAAAGGCCUGUUUGGACCAGUUUGGGAAGGAAGCCAGGGAGCCGGCAGAUGAGGAAACCAAGACCCAGGGAGGCAAAGCCACACCCACGGUCACACAGCUCUCCCACAGGUGCUGGAUUCUGUCCCUGAUGCUGCGGGCAGGUUGCUGAGAUGCCCCCUCCACCAGGACAGCAGAAUCCUGGAUUUCUGGAGGUCCCCGUGGCUGUGGGCCGAAGGGUGAAUAUUAUCAAGGAGAUUUGAGACGUCACUACUAGCAAGAGAGCUCUGCAAAACCUUCUUCACGUCCCCAGAUAAGGACAUGGAGGCUGAGAAAGGCUAAGUGACUGGCACGAGUUGUUCACCAGGAA